UGGCCCUUAGGUAGGCUUCUUCCCCUGUCUGGGCUCCAGUGUUACCAUAUAAUAUGGAGGGGGUGGGUUCAGUGCCCUCUGAGAGUCUGUGAUGCUGUGAGCUCAAAACUGACGGUCAUGGGACCAGUCUUCACGGCUGCACUCAAAGAAGCCACCGCUGUUCUCCAUCAUUCUCUCUCCCCAGCACAUUCACACCAGCCCACGGCAGCCAAUGUCUAGUCUACAGCCAGGCAAGGAGCCUGAAGGCCCCAUUCAGGAAAAUGAUGGGGCUCUGGAUCACAAAAGCUUGCAGAGCUGUGCUGUCAAGCUGGCUGGGCCUCCUGACCCCCAAAACAGCAAAUCUGGAUGGUCUUGACUCAACCUGGGCCUCUGAGAGCUAAAAUGGAUCCUCCUCUCACCCUGCCCCAGCACACCCUCCAUAACAAGGCCGAUCAGCUUCCUGCAAGGAGCAUCCUUUCGGGACAGUGCUUCAGGACACUGCCGGAUCUACUUACGCAGAUCCUUUUAAAGACACAUUGCUGGAUGGCUUUCCUUCUCGAGACACCCUCCCCCAAAGACAGAGCAAUAUUCCUCACCUGUGUGAUUUAUAACACAAGCAAAUUAGUAACAGAUGCUGGCAGUGAGCGGCUUACUCCGUUUUAUCUCUUUUCCCCCUUUCACUGAAUCAAGGCUGGUGGUAAACAGGCCAGCCCGGCCGCUAUCAAGCACAGGAAGAAGGAUGCCAUUUCCCCGCCGGGGGGGGCAUGAAAGCUAAAUCCACAGGCGCGCUCUGGGGCUGCCUGGGGGCCAAG